rnacentral:rRNA from 1 species
AGCGAACGCUGGCGGCAGGCUUAACACAUGCAAGUCGAGCGGGCACUUUCGGGUGUCAGCGGCGGACGGGUGAGUAACGCGUGGGAACGUGCCCUCUGGUUCGGAAUAACUCAGGGAAACUUGAGCUAAUACCGGAUACGCCCUUUUGGGGAAAGGCUUGCUGCCGGAGGAUCGGCCCGCGUCUGAUUAGCUAGUUGGUGAGGUAACGGCUUACCAAGGCGACGAUCAGUAGCUGGUCUGAGAGGAUGAUCAGCCACACUGGGACUGAGACACGGCCCAGACUCCUACGGGAGGCAGCAGUGGGGAAUAUUGGACAAUGGGCGCAAGCCUGAUCCAGCCAUGCCGCGUGAGUGAUGAAGGCCUUAGGGUUGUAAAGCUCUUUUAUCCGGGACGAUAAUGACGGUACCGGAGGAAUAAGCCCCGGCUAACUUCGUG